GACGAACGCUGGCGGCGUGCCUAAUACAUGCAAGUAGAACGCUGAAGGAGGAGCUUGCUUCUCUGGAUGAGUUGCGAACGGGUGAGUAACGCGUAGGUAACCUGCCUGGUAGCGGGGGAUAACUAUUGGAAACGAUAGCUAAUACCGCAUAAUAGUAGAUGUUGCAUGACAUUUGCUUAAAAGGUGCAAUUGCAUCACUACCAGAUGGACCUGCGUUGUAUUAGCUAGUUGGUGAGGUAACGGCUCACCAAGGCGACGAUACAUAGCCGACCUGAGAGGGUGAUCGGCCACACUGGGACUGAGACACGGCCCAGACUCCUACGGGAGGCAGCAGUAGGGAAUCUUCGGCAAUGGACGGAAGUCUGACCGAGCAACGCCGCGUGAGUGAAGAAGGUUGUCGGAUCGUAAAGCUCUGUUGUAAGAGAAGAACGAGUGUGAGAGUGGAAAGUUCACACUGUGACGGUAUCUUACCAGAAAGGGACGGCUAACUACGUG
rnacentral:rRNA from 1 species